rnacentral:tRNA from 1 species
GCCUUUGUGGUGUAGGUGGUCAGCAUGCUCGACAUGUAUUCAAGAGGUCCGUGGUUCGAAUCCCGGCAAGCGCA